rnacentral:rRNA from 2 species
GUUUCUUAAGUCUGAUGAGAAAAGCCCCCCCGGCUCAACCCGGGGAGGGUCAUUGGAAACUGGGAAACUUGGAGUGCGGAAGAGGGAGAGUGGAAUUCCACGUGUAGCGGUGAAAUGCGUAGAGAUGUGGAGGAACACCAGUGGCGAAAGGCGACUCUCUGGGUCUGUAACUGACGCUGAGGAGCGAAAGCGUGGGGGAGCGAACAGGAUUAGAUACCCUGGUAGUCCACGCCGUAAACGAUGAGUGCUAAGUGUUAGGGGGUUUCCGCCCCUUAGUGCUGCAGCUAAAGCAUUAAGCACUCCGCCUGGGGAGUACGGUCGCAAGACUGAAACUCAAAGGAAUUGACGGGGGCCCGCACAAGCGGUGGAGCAUGUGGUUUAAUUUGAAGCAACGCGAAGAACCUUACCAGGUCUUGACAUCCUCUGACAACCCUAGAGAUAGGGCUUUCCCUUCGGGGACAGAGUGACAGGUGGUGCAUGGUUGUCGUCAGCUCGUGUCGUGAGAUGUUGGGUUAAGUCCCGCAACGAGCGCAACCCUUGAUCUUAGUUGCCAGCAUUCAGUUGGGCACUCUAAGGUGACUGCCGGUGACAAACCGGAGGAAGGUGGGGAUGACGUCAAAUCAUCAUGCCCCUUAUGACCUGGGCUACACACGUGCUACAAUGGACAGAACAAAGGACUGCGAGACCGCAAGGUUUAGCCAAUCCCACA